GUUGUUGUGGCUGAAUGGUUAAGGCGAUAAACUUGAAAUCUUUUGUGAUCUUCUCACGCAGGUUCGAAACCUGCAGACAACG
rnacentral:tRNA from 1 species